UUGGUUUCCUAUUUUUGCUCAUGUGGAUUAUGUUUUUUUGGACUCUGAAAAUAAAACUGCAAAUAGAUCUUUUUGUGUGAGCAUUCCGUGACACCUUGAUUUCCAAAUGAAAUGCAAAAUGGACUUUUAUCUGAAAAGAGGACUUUGGACCAUUGAGCAACAGUCCAGUUCUUUUUCUCCUUAGCCCAGGAAAUCACAUCAGAGUUGACCGCUGUGAAUGGUCAUGAUUCUCCUAUUGAGCCUUUGGAGAGGUCAUAGGUCAGCUGUCCGUCUCAACUGGAGUGGCAGUCUCAAGGGUGACCUUCUCGACCUCAAGGGAAAUAAGAUAGCUACUAAAACCUGUCCCAACGUCCCCUUGACACCUACCAAGCUCACUCACCUGUGGUUAAGAAUCCAGUGCAGGAUGUUGGCUGCCUCUGGUUCUCCUGAGGGACGACCAGGUCAAGACAGCAUUGUACGGUGGCCUGAAGUUCACCUAGUCCAGCGGUGUAUUCAUUUAAUUGGGAAAUACACCAAGAGACGUACAGAU